UCCACACACUGUCAGCAUCUGUGGC
rnacentral:piRNA from 1 species